UUCACCUCAUUCGUUUGCCAAACCCGCCAUCGCUGGACAGAAAAUUCUUUAAAGCUGCGAGUGCAAAUCAGCCGUAUCGGGAUUUAUGUAAAUUUUGUGCCACGCCAGUAGACGCCAGUGAGCCCGGAAAAAAAGACAGAGCUUUUGAUAACCGUUGGGAAGAUCCGACAGCAAACCCAGCACCAGGAAAAUAUCGGUUCCGGUGUCACGUGGAAGAAAGCCGCGAUUGCUGCUGAAAAUCGGAAAACGCGUGGAAAACGGGAACAUCAAGGUGCAGCGGUCGCUGCGGAAACACUGACGAAAGCAUUUGCUGACAGGAGAAUCGAUACGAAUAUCAGAACAAGCGGCACGAUCCGGUUGCAGGCGCUAAGCAACGCAGUUGGGCACGACGAGAAGGUGAAGACCAGUUAGUGGUUAGUGGACGGUUGGCUCUAUCAAAAACCCAGAGCGAAAGGGGACCGACAAAAGGUGGCAGCCAUAAUCACCAAUUCACAAACAGCAAAGCCGAUUCGUAUUCAGCAAAAGAAACCCCAUUGGGGUUCUUUUUUAGAGCUGGUUGGCCGUUCUUUCAUCUCGGGUGGCACGAGCGAGACACGGAAGGUGGGCUGCGAGGUUGAGAGCCGGAAGGUUGUCACAGUCCUCAGCGCGAAUCUUUGCAGGAGGUGGGAUAGCAGCAGCACAGUGUCCUGGGGCUUGUCGGAGAUCCGCACACAACCACGUGGAAAUAAUCAACGUGAAUCGAAGGUGCCUCGGAGGGACCCCAUCCAGCAACUCGGUCGCACUGGACGGCCAGAGGGGUCUCCAGCGGAGGCAGCAACCUUGUGAGUGGCGCGGCGAGGGACAGCGCGGCGAGCUUUUGGCAGAAUGCGGGGGUGGUGCGGCGAUAGUCGUCCGUCCGCGACAAGGAUCGGUACGGUAGGGGGACGCCCCAUGUAGCCGCUUCCGAAUACGAAAAAGGGCACCGUGAGUACGGAGAAGAAACCGUGAGUAAGAAAACUGAGGUGUUUUGUAAAGUAGGAAGAUAGAGAAAGAGGAGUGAAAAGGAAAGAAGAUAAGAUGAGUAGGAGGUAGGAAGUAACAGAGGAAAAUGGGUGCAUUACCCUAAAUACAUGUAUUAAAUUGAGAUUUGUGGUUAUUUGA